rnacentral:rRNA from 1 species
UACGUAGGGUGCAAGCGUUCAUCGGAAUUACUGGGCGUAAAGCGUGCGCAGGCGGUUUUGUAAGUCAGAUGUGAAAUCCCCGGGCUUAACCUGGGAACUGCGUUUGAAACUACAAGGCUAGAGUGUGGCAGAGGGGGGUGGAAUUCCACGUGUAGCAGUGAAAUGCGUAGAGAUGUGGAGGAACACCGAUGGCGAAGGCAGCCCCCUGGGUUAACACUGACGCUCAGGCACGAAAGCGUGGGGAGCAAACAGG